rnacentral:lncRNA from 1 species
ACGAUGGCGAUCCGCCUCGAGUUGGCUAUUUCUGGUCAUUUUCGGCCUAAUUCAGCCAAACUUACAUUGGUUCCUGUGAGAAAACACCCCUAGGGCCCUCGGUGGGCUGAAAAAAUACCGAAAACUAAAACUUACCGCCGGCGGAGCUCUCCAGCUCGAGUCGCGAUUUGGUGUUUUACUCCGGUCAACCUAUAGAGGAGGGAACAGUGGUCACAAUGGUGGAAAAAUUACAUCAAACGGGAAUCGGAAAGGGCUUAAUCGGAGGCAAAAAUCGAGAAAAUAUGCGGCGGCACCGUUGGGCUUCGGUGGCGUUUUCUGGCCAAUUGGCGGUGUUUUUGCUCCGAUUUUGCCAGAGGUGAAUUCAGUAUCGAAUUCUGAGCCAAAGGGAGAAUUUUUGACCUUGUUUGUCGGCCAGAAAUUGCUCCGGUGCAGC